rnacentral:rRNA from 1 species
GACGAACGCUGGCGGCGUGCUUAACACAUGCAAGUCGAACGGUGAAGCGCCUUCCUUUUUGGUGGGUGUGGAUGAGUGGCGAACGGGUGAGUAACACGUGAGUAACCUGCCCCCUUCUUCUGGAUAACCGCAUGAAAGUGUUGCUAAUACGGGAUAUUCUGGGUCUGUCGCAUGAUGGGUCUGGGAAAGAUAUUGUUUCGGUGGGGGAUGGGCUCGCGGCCUAUCAGCUUGUUGGUGGGGUGAUGGCCUACCAAGGCGGUGACGGGUAGCCGGCCUGAGAGGGUGGACGGUCACACUGGGACUGAGACACGGCGCAGACUCCUACGGGAGGCAGCAGUGGGGAAUAUUGCACAAUGGGCGCAAGCCUGAUGCAGCGACGCCGCGGGAGGGAUGGAGGCCUUCGGGUUGUGAACCUCUUUCACCAGUGAAGCAGGCCUGCCUCGUCUGUGGGUGGGUUGACGGUAGCUGGAUAAGAAGCGCCGGCUAACUACGUG